GGCUGGUGCUCUACAUCUCCAGCAUCAACGACGAGGUGAUGAACCGCCCCGGCGGCUCCGAGCAGUAUUUCCAGUACCGCUACGGCUGGUCCUUCGCCUUCGCCGCCUCCUCCUUCCUCCUCAAAGAGGUGCGCGAGGCCUCGCGCCGGGAUUGCACCGGGAUUGCACCGGGAUUGCACGGGGAUUGCAUGGCCUCUCACCGCCUUGCACCAGGAUUGCACAGCCAUGCACCGGGAUUGCACAGGGAUUGCACCGGGAUUGCACCGGGAUUGCACGGCCUCUCACCGCCUUGCACCGGGAUUGCACAGCCAUGCACCAGGAUUGCACAGGGAUUGCACCGGGAUUGCACCGGGAUUGCACGGGGAUUGCAUGGCCUCUCACCGCCUUGCACCGGGAUUGCACAGCCAUGCACCGGGAUUGCACAGGGAUUGCACCGCCUCGCAUGGCCAUGCACAGCCACGCACCGCCUCGCACGGGGAGCACAGCCACGCACGGGGAUUGCACUGCCUCGCACAGCCCUGCACGGCCUCGCACGGGGAUUGCACGGGGAUUGCACAGGGAUUGCACGGCCUCUCAUGGCCCUGCACGGCCUUGCACGGGCAGCACGCGGCCUUGCACCACCUUGCACAGGGAGCCCGUGGCCUCACACGGGGAUUGCACGGGGAUUGCACGGGGAGCACGUGGCCUUGCACCACCUUGCACAGCUGCACACAGGGAUUGCACGGGGAUUGCACAGCCUUGCACAGCUGCGCACAGGGAUUGCACGGGGAUUGCACGGCCUCGCGCAGGGAGUGCUGGGCUUGCACGGCCUCUCAUGGCCUUGCACGGGGAUCGCACAGGGGUUGCAAAGGGGUCGCAUGGGGAUCAUGCUGGAUUGCACAGGGGGUGCGCUGCGCCGUGCUGCACUGUGCUGCGCUGUGCUGUGCCGCACUGUGGCACACUGUGCCAUGCCGUGGUGCUCUGGGCUGCACCGUGCUGCACCGUGCUGCACUGUGCCAUGCUGUAGUGCAUCAUGCUGCACCGUGCUGUGCUGUGUUGCACCGUGCUGCAUCAUGCUGCAUCAUGCUGCACUGUGCUGUGCUGUGCUGUGCUGCAUCAUGCUCUGCCACGCUGCACUGUGCCAUGCUGCACCGUGCUGUGCUGUGCUGCGCUGUAUUGCACUGUGCCAUGCCGUGCCGUGCUGCACCAUGCCGCACCGUGCUGUGCUGCGUCAUGCUGCGUCGUGCUGCACUGUGCUGCACUGUGCUGCACCGUGCUGUGCUGUGCUGUGCUGCGGUGCACUGCGCUGCGUUGUGCUGCACCACGCUGGGCUGCGCUGCAUCAUGCCGCACUGUGCUGUGCUGCGCUCUGCUGYGUCGUGCUGCACCGUGCUGCACCCCGCUGC
rnacentral:lncRNA from 1 species